AUUGAGGAGAAUCUUGCCCCCACACGUUUACUUGCGUGUGGGAUGUUUAAAGUGUCCGCCCUCUUACAAGUAUUUAAAGGAGACAAACCUCGAGACAUCCACUGCACACAAAACCGGACCACAGCAAGGAAACACACAGAUCCAAACCCAAACACAAAUACAUAAUUCCAAAAAAACCCAACAAUGGGCCAGUACUCAUUUAUAGUGCUCUUGUUUCAGCUCAUUUUGUGCAGCCACCGGAUUGUGACCGACGCAGCGGGUGGCGGGUGGCAACUCCUCCAGAAAAGCAUUGGCAUAUCAUCCAUGCACAUGCAACUCCUCAACAACGACCGUGUCGUAAUGUUCGAUCGAUCUGACUUCGGACCAUCAAAUUUAUCGUUACCCCCUGGCAAGUGCCUUAAGACUGACUGCACUGCUCAUUCCGUUGAGUACAACGUUUUGACCAACGAGUUUCGGCCUCUUUUUGUGCAAAGCAACGUAUGGUGCUCCUCAGGCGCUGUGAGGCCUGAUGGCGUCUUGAUCCAGACCGGUGGAUUCAAUGAUGGCGAAAAAAAGAUCAGAAGUUUCUUGCCUUGUAACGAUGAAUCCUGUGAUUGGAAAGAAAUUGACGGACUUGGUGCUAGAAGAUGGUACGCCACUGAUCAUAUAUUGCCUGAUGGUAGGAUAAUUAUCAUUGGCGGGAGAAGGCAAUUUAAUUACGAAUUUUAUCCGAAAAAUGGUGCUCCGAACGUGUACAGCUUACCAUUCUUGGUCCAAACAAAUGAUCCUAGAGUCGAGAACAAUUUAUACCCCUUUGUUUUUCUCAAUGUUGAUGGAUUCUUAUUCAUUUUUGCUAACAAUCGAGCAAUAUUGUUCGAUUAUGUUAACAACAAGGUGGUUAAACAGUACCCAGCUAUACCCGGCGGCGAUCCGAGGUCUUAUCCGAGCUCGGGCUCUGCGGUUUUGCUUCCAUUGAAGAACUUGCUGGCUCCCAGCGUUGCAGCUGAAGUUUUGGUGUGUGGUGGAGCCCCGAAAGGAGCUUAUGAGCAAGCAGAAAAAGGUGUCUUUAUCGCAGCUUUGAAUACGUGCGCACGGAUUAAGAUAGCCGACCCGACUCCAACAUGGGUCCUGGAGACUAUGCCUCAGCCUAGAGUCAUGGGUGACAUGACAUUGCUUCCCAAUGGGAACGUGCUACUUAUCAAUGGUGCGGGUAAAGGAACUGCCGGGUGGGAACUCGGCCGGGACCCGGUUCUUGCCCCGGUGGUUUACCGACCUGAUAACAUACCGGGGUCGCGUUUCGAUUUGCAAAAUCCAUCAACCAUACCCCGCAUGUAUCAUUCAACAGCAGUGUUACUUCGUGAUGGCCGAGUCCUUGUUGGUGGCAGCAAUCCCCACGCGUACUAUAACUUCACAGGCGUACUAUUUCCUACGGAACUGAGCUUAGAGGCAUUCUCUCCCUAUUAUUUGGACGCUCCUUUUGCUAAUUUGCGGCCAACAAUCGUUCUACCCGAAUCCCAGUUUACGCUAAAAUACAAGCAAAAGUUUAGAGUACGAUUCUCAGCCAGCGGUCCAGUCGCCUUAAAUAAAGUGACUGUAACGAUGGUGGCGCCAUCGUUUAAUACACAUUCUUUCUCAAUGAACCAGAGAUUGUUGGUGCUUGCAAGUGACACUGUGACAAAAUUGGGGAACUCGGGUUACGAAAUUGUAGUGAAUUCACCCGGCUCUGGAAAUCUUGCACCGUCCGGAUAUUAUCUUCUAUUUGUUGUUCAUCAAGAUGUUCCAAGCGAGGGCAUUUGGGUCCAUGUGCAGUAACUUUUUUUUUUCCCCCUCACGUACUCUGGUUUCAAAGUAAAAGAAUUGUUUGAGUUAAUUCUAUCUUUACAGUUUACAGAUUUAUCAUAUCAAUUCUACCAAUUGCAAUUGUAUUUACAAAAGCAAUAAUGAUAAUAAUAAUAUAAAAAAAAUUGUUGUUUCAUUGUUUGUUACGUGUAUACGUGUGUGUAUAUAUAUAUAUAUAUAUGUACGUGUGUGUAUAAAUAAAUAAUCCUUAACUUUAAGUAAAGGAAAAGGGAAUAAUUACUUUGAUCAGUGCGAUUACCCUCUUAAGAAUAUAAAUAAACUAAAUUGAAUUACGGCAAGCAACAAGAGAUAGAAAAAGAAUGCAAUGACAAGAAGAGCAUAUAUUAUGCAGCUGAAACUAGCUUAUAGAGCUAAGUAUACGUAAUAAUUAAAUAUGUAAGCGAGAAAAGGUAAAGCUUUUGAGCUUUGAGAUAGGAAACUUACUAUUCCCAAAAUUCUCAUGAUCUCGCCACAUGGUCGUAUCCUGUUUGGCAGUCAGAUGAUUUUGGUUUUAAUAAUUUCUCUUUACCGAUUAGUCUUUUUGCCCUUUUUGCAGAUAUGCUUUAUGACAAGAUAUCACUUUGAAAAA
rnacentral:lncRNA from 1 species